UGAUUGAUCAUCUCAAGUAAUCAAAACAAGAGGGACUCCACUUUGAUCACCCUAGAGAUAAUGGACAGCAGGAGAUGCAAAUGCCAGUGGUGCGGCAUGAAGAUGGCAGCUCCCUUUGGAGCACAAACAAUUAGCUGUCCAAGGUGCCAAUCUGUUACACAACUCCAACCCGCAAGAAACAAUGGCUUUGCAAAUUUCCCCACUGGCAAUAACAAUAUGAGCCAAGGAUUUCCAGCUUUUCCUACAAGGCCAGGAAGGAUGAGUCCAAAUGCUUAUAAUUCUCAGCCUCAACAAUUCAACAUGUCAACGCAGAUUAACAAUAUGCGACCUUCAUCAGUACAUGGACGAAAACGAGCAGUUCUGUGCGGAAUUAAUUACCGUGGGCAUCCCAAGAGUCUGAAGGGAAGCAUUAAUGACGUUUUAUGCAUGAGAUAUUUUCUGGUCGAGAAGUUGGGAUUCCCAAAUGCAUCAGUGAUUGUCCUUACAGAGGAUGAGAAAGAUCCAUACAAGUAUCCAACCAAGGCCAAUAUCAGAUCAGCCCUACGUUGGCUUGUUCAUGGUUGUCAGCCAGGAGAUUCACUAGUGUUCCACUAUUCUGGCCAUGGCUCACAAGUACCGGACUUUGAUGGGGAUGAGAUUGAUGGGCAUGACGAAUCACUAUGCCCCGUUGAUUAUGAAACAAAAGGAGGGAUACUAGAUGAUGAGAUCAAUGGUACUAUUGUUAGGCCUUUACCGCGUGGAGCCACACUUCAUGGCAUAAUUGAUACAUGCUUCAGUGGGACUUUCCUAGAUUUGCCCUUUAUGUGCAGAAUAAACAGGGCAGGAAACUUUAUGUGGGAAGACCAUCAGAUCAGCUACUACAAAGGUACAAGAGGGGGAACAGCAAUCUCUAUCAGUGCCUGUGACGACCAUCAAAAUUCUGGAGAUACAACAGUUAGUAUUUGCUUUCACAGGUGUUGCAUCGGGUGCCCUGACUUAUAGUUUCAUCCAAACUUUGGAGCAAGAGCCUAAAUUGACUUAUGGACGCUUACUCAUGAGUAUGCACUAUAAGAUCCAUGAAGCACAGAAAGGAAUGGGCCUCAAUGGUGCAAAUGAAACUCAGAAGCCUCAACUAUCCUCGUCUGAGCAGUUUGAUAUUCACUCAAAGAUGGUGGCUAUAUAGGAACUUAAAGUAUCCAACUCCAGCCUGAGUACAACUUCCCUGGAAUAAUCUUGUUGUACUAAUAAAUCUCAACACUUUUAUCUUAUUGUAAUUGAUUUCAACAGUUCCUUUUACCAUCGCGUGUAGAAGCGUAGAUUCACUCAUAUAGUAUUGUUCUGGUGUGAAUCUUGAUCGUGUAUGUUAGUUAUGUAAACCUUAUCAAUAACAGUGAAUAAACUUCCAGAUGGAAAUUUGCUCAGAA